CUCAGUGUGUACAGAUGUUGCAUUUUCCAUGUUGCAGUUUUCCAUGUAAUUUUGGAUGUAAGAGCCAUUCCACACAACUUGCAUAUACGUAAAGAAAAUGCUGAGGAGGACUCCAAAGAGAGUCGAAAUGUUCGAAAUAAAGAAGACAUCAAUCCAAUACUAAGGGUUGAUUGUUCAUUCAAGGGUUGUUGAUUCACUAAAUAAUUGCGCCGUUUAUCGUUGCUGACUCUCAUUAGUUUAUCAUAUUUAUGUUUUUGUAUUGUUUAAAAUUCGAGAGUCCUACGUUCUAAAAAUUUCUCCGAGGAAGAUUUUAUUCUAUAUGCUAUAAUAUAUGUUACAUGUACUAUAUAUUUCGAGUAAAUUUUCCUCGGAAGUUUUGGAACAUAGCCCUAAUAUAAAUAUUGUUAUUGCAUAAAAAAAAUCAUCCAAUCGUAUUUUACGUUUGUCUUUAUGACAGAAAUGUGAUUGAAUAAUUUUCUUUAUGCAUACACGAUUAUGCGACUAUGCAAGUUUGUGUGGACUGGCCCUAAUGCGUAAUCAUGACUUGUUGGAAACCGAGCCUGAGGAAAAUCGACGAUAUCAUUUCCCCUAGUAAUUUUGAUCGUCUGGCGAUUUGCGCGCCUGCGCUCGAUUGUCGGCGUUUAAAAUUCAAAACUUAACGUAACGCCAAACGGCUCUUCGUGUUCUUCGGUGACGAGCGUUUAUUUGUUAGCUCCGUGUUUUUGACACGAUUUUCUUCCACCUUUGCGACGAAAGAAACUUGCCUCCGACCGAGCGAGCUCAACGUACGUCGAGUAACGAUUGUGUAAUUAACUAUAGACGAAACGCCCGAAAAUUUUCGUGGCGUGGCGUGGCGUCGGGCGAUGUCACGAUGUGAGAAGAGCAACGUGAGUGACGUCUGUUCCUUUGCUCUCUAAAUUACGCGCUAUGAUACUGUGAGGAUCGCAAAUUAGUCAAACUCGAACGGUCAUAGUCUACUAAUGAUGGUUUUUAAUAAGAAGGAUCUGGGCAAAGCAUUCUCGCCGUCCAAAGCCAAAAAAGUGGGACUCAAGAGACAGUUGUCGGCCAACGGAUCGGUCAAGCCGAGCACAAGCGGUUCCACAAUGAAAACGGAGGAUACCUCCGAAAUAUCAAUUAAGGUGAUCGUGCGAGUUCGUCCGCCUAAUGAACGUGAGCUGCAAGAUAACAGCAGAACGAUUAUCGAGGUUGUCGAUGACAAAAUGUUGAUCUUCGACCCGAAGGAACAUGAGACGCCCUUCUUUUUCCACAAUGUGGCGCAGAAGGGUAGGGACAUGCUGAAGAAACAGAACAAGCAACUACAAUUUAUCUUUGACAGAGUCUUUGAUUCGACAUCAACAAAUACCGACGUGUUCGAGGGAAGCACCAAGAGAUUGAUCAACAGUCUCCUGGAUGGCUACAAUUGCUCUGUAUUUGCCUAUGGUGCUACCGGUGCUGGGAAAACUCAUACGAUGCUGGGUAACAGGGAAGAUCCUGGUAUUACGUAUCACACUGUGGCAGAACUCUUCUCUGAGAUUGAGAAUCAGAGCAAACAUCGUGAAUUUACCUUGGGUGUGUCUUAUCUGGAAAUAUAUAACGAGAACGUACAAGAUUUGUUGCACAAAUCAGGCCAAUUGCACCUGAGAGAAGAUGGUAGAUGUGGAGUUGUAGUCGCUGGAUUAGAACCUAUCGCUAUUCAAAACGCUGAGGAAUUGUUAUCACUGUUGGCAGAGGGUAAUAAGAAUCGCACUCAGCAUCCAACGGAUGCAAACAAGGAAAGCAGUAGAAGUCAUGCAGUUUUCCAGGUAUACAUCAAGAUAAUCAAUAAGCUAGACAGUCAGGUGCAGCGAGUCAAAUUGUCCAUGAUCGAUUUGGCGGGAUCUGAAAGAGCUUCGGCUACUGGAUGUAAAGGUGUAAGAUUUAAGGAAGGCGCUAAUAUCAAUAAAUCCUUAUUGGCUCUUGGGAAUUGUAUAAAUAAUCUAGCAGAUGGUAUAAAAUAUAUUCCAUAUAGAGACUCUAAACUUACGAGGCUAUUAAAGGAUUCACUUGGCGGUAAUUGUCACACUGUUAUGAUAGCUAAUAUCGCCCCUGGUAGCAGUACUUAUGAAGAUACACAUAAUACUUUAAGAUAUGCGAAUCGAGCAAAGAAAAUCAAAUCGUAUGCUAAGAAGAAUGUAUCUUGUGAAACACAUGUUGCUGGUUACAUCAAGAUAGUGGAGGAACAGAAGAAGGAAAUAGAUAUUUUGAAAUCGAAAUUGGCAGCUUAUGAGAAUGGAACACCGCAACCGAUUGAGAGCAAACCAACUGUCGUUAUGUUGGAUGCAUAUAACAAGCUAAUAAAAUUGCACGAAAAGAAGAAGAAUUUAAUAGAAAAGAUACUGAGUUUGGAGAGCGCUGAUAAGAUUUUGGCUUGCAGGAUACUCUAUAAGAAAGACGCAGAUGAGAGACUACACAAUCUAACGGCAGCCAGUGACAUCUUGUCACAGGAAGAACGAAAUGCUAGUGGAAAGUUGCGCAUUAAUAAAUCUUUACAACAUUUUCAGCGGCAGCGAAAGGCCCUUAAAGCGCAAAUGCAAGAAGCAUGGCAGGAAUUAUGUUCGAUUGAAACAGCAAUACAAGAGACAAAAGCUAAACCUCUCGAUGAAAAUCUGCAGAGUAAACUGUCUUUGGAAAUUUUCAGCAUCGAGACAUGCUGGAUUCCCAGUAUGCAACAGCACAUGAAGAAACUCAGCAGUGUUCUGCAAAACGAAAGGCAAUCGAUUAACACUAUAACAAAGAGUAUGAGUAAUACAUUACAGAAUUAUUAUAAUAUGGUGAAAGGCUUCGGUACAAUGACUGAUAAAAUGCAAGGAGAAUUUAAAGAAUUAAUUAAGUUGCUUGAAGGUUUUCGAAAUAUCAAAUGGUCUGAUACGGACGAGGCAAACAAAGUGGACGAUUUCAACAUGUUUACGUGUUUGAGUACAAAUGGAAUAGACCCAUUAAAUAAUUCAAUGCCAGCAAUCGCGGAGAUGGAUGAUGAAGAACCAAAUACAAAUAUGAAUAUUUUGAACUGUACCUUCGAUGCUGCUAUGAGUGAGAAUAAUAUCGACAGCAAUAUUUCUAAUUUAAGCAACGGAAGUAAUUUAAGCAGCGGAAGUCAUGAAAAUAAAUUCUUGCUGAAAGAUGAAUCAGUGCAAGCAUCUCCACGAACUGAUGCAAAGAACAUAAUCAGGAAACGUGUAUUAUCUGACAAAAAUAGUGAAAACAGCAGUACACCUUUCAAACAGACGAAAAAGCUAGUAAUGAAUAACAAAGUACAGAGUACUGGUCGAGAUAAGGAGAACAAACUGCAGAGGCCUAUACAAAUGAGUGCAAAAAGUGUCGCCAUUCUAAAUAAAUUAAAGAGCAAUACUGCUAAUUUGUCAUCUCUUUCCCAACAUAAUAGUAUCGAGGAAAAGACAGACGUGGCAUUCAAGGCAAUACGUAAUAAAGAGAGGCGCGGUCUUAUGACAACCCAUCCGUAUCAAAAAUCAAUUGUUGGGAAAAAACCCACUCCUGCUCCACCAUCUACUAGAGUUCCAUGGUAAUUAGACAAAAAUUUGAUACCUGGACGCAAGAUUGAAGAGAUAGUGAUCUUACAAAUAUUGUUAAGUACUAUCAUUCAACUUGGAAUACUCACAUAUUCCCGCAAGGCAUGUGACACGUGUUUUGGAAUCUCUGG
rnacentral:misc_RNA from 1 species